rnacentral:rRNA from 1 species
AACGCGAAGAACCUUACCGAGGCUUGACAUCCCUGGAACCUGCUAGAAAUAGCGGGGUGCCCUCGGGAACCAGGUGACAGGUGCUGCAUGGCCGUCGUCAGCUCGUGUCGUGAGAUGUUGGGUUAAGUCCCGCAACGAGCGCAACCCUUAUCGUAUGUUGUAUUUUUCAUACGAGACUGCCCGAGGUAAUCGGGAGGAAGGUGGGGAUGAGGUCAGGUCGGCAUGGCCCUUACGCCUCGGGCCACACACGUCAUACAAUGGCCAGUACAACGCGUUGCCAAGCCGUGAGGCGGAGCUAAUCGCAUCAAAACUGGUCUCAGUUCGGAUUGGAGGCUGCAACUCGCCUCCAUGAAGUCGGAUUCGCUAGUAAACGCAGGUCAGCAUACUGCGUUGAAUACGUUCCCGGGCCUUGUACACACCGCGCAUA